AUGUGUUGGAACGUGCGUGGCCUGAACAGCCCGACCAAGAAGAAGGCACUGCGUGAAUUUGCGGACUCGGUGCACCCAGCUAUUUUUUGUAUCCAGGAGACUAAACUUGCUUGUAUUGACACUUAUACUGUUAUGCAAUGUCUUGGCCCGUCUUAUGAUGGGUAUUACUACUUACCGGCUACGGAUACGAGGGGUGGGAUCCUUUUAGCUUGGAAUGCAGCGCUGACCAACAUUAUGAACUUUGUUAGAGACACACACUGCAUCACUGGGUACAUAUCUCCAAGCCUCAGACAAGAAUAA
rnacentral:rRNA from 1 species